GUACACUCCUGCGGGAGGCAGCAGUGGGGAAUAUUGCACAAUGGGCGCAAGCCUGAUGCAGCCAUGCCGCGUGUAUGAAGAAGGCCUUCGGGUUGUAAAGUACUUUCAGCGGGGAGGAAGGCGAUAAGGUUAAUAACCUUGUCGAUUGACGUUACCCGCAGAAGAAGCACCGGCUAACUCCGUGCCAGCAGCCGCGGUAAUACGGAGGGUGCAAGCGUUAAUCGGAAUUACUGGGCGUAAAGCGCACGCAGGCGGUCUGUCAAGUCGGAUGUGAAAUCCCCAGGCUCAACCUGGGAACUGCAUUCGAAACUGGCAGGCUAGAGUCUUGUAGAGGGGGGUAGAAUUCCAGGUGUAGUGGUGAAAUGCGUAGAGAUCUGGAGGAAUACCGGUGGCGAAGGCGGCCCCCUGGACAAAGACUGACGCUCAGGUGCGAAAGCGUGGGGAGCAAACAGGAUUAGAUACCCGAGUAGUCCCAUG
rnacentral:rRNA from 1 species